AACGCCCAAAAUAAAAUGGAUCUUCAUAACCCUAAGAUCAGCCGCCCACUGCUCUCUCAUAACCUCACAAACCUGCGUCCUGCUCCUCCAAUCGCCGCCCACGAACCGCCGACCGCCGGAAACAAUCCGCUGCUCACCGCCAGCCGCCGACCGCCGACUGCCGGAAACAAGGUCUGCUCCUCCUAAAACAACCACUCUGCCCACUCUCCUCUCCACGCUCCGUCGCUGCACACCGCCCUCCUACGACCACCGCUGCCAGUGCGCUGCCACAAUGACUUCUCUCCUUUUUCCUUCGCUCACUGCCCAGGUAAACUAAUUCAUCAAUACAAGUGCCAACUCUUGAAUAUAUUAGGAAUUGUUUAUCGCUACAAGCAGAUGAAAGAAAUGAGCUCAGCAGAAAGAGAAGCUAAGUUUGUUCCUUGAGUAUGCAUAUUUGGAGGAAAAGCUUUUGCUACAUACCUUCAAGCUAAAAGGAUUGUAAAAUUCAUAACAGAUGUUGGAGCCACCAUAAACCAUGAUCCUGAGAUAGGUGAUUUGUUGAAGGUUGUUUUCGUCCCUGAUUACAUUUUCAGUGUUAUAGAACUGCUGAUUCCAGCUAGUGAACUUUCACAACAUAUCAGUACUUGCCGAAAUGGAGGCCAGUGGAACCAACAAUAUCAAAUUUGCCGUGAAUUUUUGUAUCUUAAUUAGGACCUUGGAUGGAGCCAAUGUUGAGAAAAGGCAAGAGGUUGGAGACGAAAACUUCAUUAUCUUUGGGGCUCAAAGCUCAUGAGUUCAUUGUGCUUUUGUCAUUAGUACAGGAUAAGUUUGAUUUUAAUAUAAAGUGAAUGUUCUAACAUUGAGGAGUAGUUUUGUAAUAAGUGCUUCCAACUUAUUAGAUUUUGUGUAUUAAUAUAUUUGAUAUCGUUUCUAAUGAUGUAACACUCAACAAUGUUAUAUUUUUGUUAAUGUUAUUGAGUUUGAAUUUCUUAA